rnacentral:rRNA from 1 species
UACGUAGGGGGCUAGCGUUGUCCGGAAUCAUUGGGCGUAAAGAGCGUGUAGGCGGCCCGGUAAGUCCGCUGUGAAAGUCGGGGGCUCAACCCUCGGAUGCCGGUGGAUACUGUCGGGCUCGAGUACGGAAGAGGCGAGUGGAAUUCCUGGUGUAGCGGUGAAAUGCGCAGAUAUCAGGAGGAACACCAAUGGCGAAGGCAGCUCGCUGGGACGGUACUGACGCUGAGACGCGAAAGCGUGGGGAGCAAACAGG